AUCAGAGAUUGCUAUUCAUGAGACUGAGUAAAUAGGAGUGAGAUUGAUAAGGCAAGCGAGUAUUUGACUGAAUAGUUGGUGUUGUAUACAUAUGGUGAAACAUAAUGGCUCAAUUGAAACUGGGAUUCUCAAUACCAUAUAUUGCUUUGUUAUUUGGUUGAUUGAAAGGGAAGAUAAUCGAGAUCUAAGGGGAAUUGGUUUCAUGCUAUGGUUUUUAGUCACUGUACUAUUUUAUGCACACAGAGAACCAACGCAGGGAACAUUUUCCAGCUAGGUGACUUUGGCUUUGUUAUUUCAAGGAUGGUUGCUAUGACUUGAAAUUUUUUAUGAUAUUGGUUUAGGUGCUUGGGUUACAAUCUUAUUUGUAAAGCCUUGAAUAAAAAUAGCAAGGAAAAUAUUCUCACACCUUGCCAUGUUGAAUAUGAAUGAGAAUUACUUAUGUCCUUUUUGAAA